rnacentral:rRNA from 1 species
UACGGAGGGAGCUAGCGUUGUUCGGAAUUACUGGGCGUAAAGCGCACGUAGGCGGCUUUGCAAGUUAGAGGUGAAAGCCCGGGGCUCAACCUCGGAACUGCCUUCGAUACUGGAAGUCUUGAGUCCGGGAGAGGUGAGUGGAACUCCGAGUGUAGAGGUGAAAUUCGUAGAUAUUCGGAAGAACACCAGUGGCGAAGGCGGCUCACUGGCCCGGUACUGACGCUGAGAUACGAAAGCGUGGGGAGCAAACAGG